CAACAUUCUACUGAGACACAAAUGACAGAAACACCAAGAAUAAAACUGAGAGAAAAAGACAGUCCAUUUAUCUUCUCUGUCUAAUUUUAUCAUCAUCAUCUUCCAAUCAUCUUUGUCUUCCUAAAGGAUAUGCCGAGUUGUUCUUAUAUUGCACCUAAAGGAACAGCUGAUCGACUUGAUGAAUUAAAUUAACUUAAAGAUCGUAAAAUCCUUGAUUGUGGAGCAGGAACUGGACUCUUGACUACUAAUCAUUUGUCCAAUCUGAUGAAAAGUGGUAUCAUUUCAUGGGGAAUGACUAAUCAGAUCGUUAUGCAGAACGAGAUUCAACUUAUGCUGACAAAGGAUUUGACAAAAUCAUUGAAGGAUUAGUUUCGGAGGGAUUAGUUGAAAUUUCGCUGAUCAUAAAAAAAAUUUACCUCAUUAUCUUAAAGGAGAAGAUGAAUUUGUUUCCAAAAUGAUUAAAAGUUUUAAUCAAUCGCGAUACAACAAUUAACGUAAUUGACUAUUUACUAUGACAUUUGUAUACACUACAUGUGUGUAAAUUUGUUUGUAAAUAAAUGACAAAUGAUUAGUCUUACUAAUGAAAGUAAUGAUAAACAAUUUUAUGAAUCAAAUUUAAUUACAAUUAAAUCAACAAGGAAAAUCAUGCGAUCAACAUGAUCGCUUUUCUGAGUAAAUCCAAGAAAUCCACUUCAUAAAUGUCAACUUUUCUGUCUUUUUUGAUCAAAAAAGUACAACAGAGCAAUUAAAUCUUUGAUUAACCUCUCGAAGUUUCAACAUCCCGGUUGAUACAAUUAAAAAACUUACAUUCAUCUAAUGCUCUUUUUCUUAAUUGUUAGUGAAGUGAUGAAAUGAUAAGAAAAUUUUCUUCUCUUCAAUAGCGAAACAUAUGAGAAUCAGGUGAUCGAUGUUUACACUUUUCUCUCUCACAAAGUUACUCUCACUUUGUCUCUCUCCCUCUUACUAUUUACUCGGUGAUUUGAAUGUUUCUUCAAGAACAAUGGAAAACACAAUUAAAGAUGUGAUUGUGAAAAAAGCCGAACCCAAUAGACCCGGAUGUAAGAAGUGCGGUUUCUUUGGUCACUUUACUUACCAAUGUCGGAAUAAUUUCACCACCAAGUCCAGAUUAGAAUUGGCCUUAGACGGACCAGUACAAGCGAUGAAGAAUCUGAUCUGGAUGAAAUCGGUUUACCUUCAGGUUCCAACAGUUUGUUACCUGGUGAUGGGAGGAAAACAUUACCAUUCACUCAUAACCAUCGAUCAACUCAUUCGGACUCGGAAGAUGAUGAUGGUGAUAGGAAACAUGGAAGAUCUCGUUCAGUAAAGAGGAAGAAAAGUAAAUCUCGUGAACGAAGUAGAAGUUCACAUAAAAAAGGAAAAAAACACAAAAAGAAAAGGUCACAUUCGAGUAAACAUCGCGAUUCCAGUUCUCAUAGACACCGAAGAAAAGAAAAGAAAAAAUCAUCUUCCAGUUCAGAUUCAGAAACAGAUUCAAGUUCAUCAUCUACUGAUGACCAACGGCGAUCUCGUAAACAUCAUCACCAUAAUCGGGAAGGUAAAGACCGGAAAAGUAAACGAUCAAAGGACAAUCGUCAUGAACGGAAACACCAUAAAGAUAAACAUCGCCGAUCAAAAAGUCGCUAAUGAACAAUUAGCUUAAUUGUUCAUCAUCUAAAAUCACCAUGGCUUUAAUUGAUUUUCACCAAACUCAAUUGAUAACAUAUGGUGAAUUGAGAUUCAUUUGAUAUGUUUAAUUUUUCAUUUUACUGGCAAUUAGUUGAUCUCUUAAAUUACAUUGAUUAUUUUUCCAACAAAUUAUUAUUACGAUUUCUCAUAAUAACAAAUGUAAAUUGUCAUUUAGUUGACAAAGUGAGAGAGAGAGAAAAAAAUUAAUCAAUAAUAAUAAUUUUCACUUUGUUAA